rnacentral:rRNA from 1 species
GCUCAGAACGAACGCUGGCGGCAGGCUUAACACAUGCAAGUCGAGCGCCCCGCAAGGGGAGCGGCAGACGGGUGAGUAACGCGUGGGAAUCUACCCUUUUCUACGGAAUAACGCAGGGAAACUUGUGCUAAUACCGUAUGAGCCCUUCGGGGGAAAGAUUUAUCGGGAAAGGAUGAGCCCGCGUUGGAUUAGCUAGUUGGUGGGGUAAAGGCCUACCAAGGCGACGAUCCAUAGCUGGUCUGAGAGGAUGAUCAGCCACAUUGGGACUGAGACACGGCCCAAACUCCUACGGGAGGCAGCAGUGGGGAAUAUUGGACAAUGGGCGCAAGCCUGAUCCAGCCAUGCCGCGUGAGUGAUGAAGGCCCUAGGGUUGUAAAGCUCUUUCACC